GACGAACGCUGGCGGCGUGCUUAACACAUGCAAGUCGAACGGAAAGGCCCUGCUUUUGUGGGGUGCUCGAGUGGCGAACGGGUGAGUAACACGUGAGUAACCUGCCCUUGACCUUGGGAUAACUUCAGGAAACUGGGGCUAAUACCGGAUAGGAGCUCCUGCUGCAUGGUGGGGGUUGGAAAGUUUCGGCGGUUGGGGAUGGAUUCGCGGCUUAUCAGCUUGUUGGUGGGGUAGUGGAUUACCAAGGCUUUGACGGGUAGGCGGCCUUAGAGGUUGACCGGCCACAUUGGUACUGAGAGACGGCCCAGAAGCCUACGGGAGGCAGUAGUGGAGAAUAUUGCAGAAUGGCCGGAAGCGUGUUGCAGCAACGCUGCGUGCGGGAUGACGGGCUUCGGGUUGUAAACCGCUUUCGCCGGUGACGAAGCGUGAGUGACGGUAAUGGGUCAAGAAGCACCGGCUAACUACGUG
rnacentral:rRNA from 1 species